rnacentral:rRNA from 1 species
CUACGGGUGGCACCAGUGAGGAAUAUUGCACAAUGGGGGGAACCCUGAUGCAGCAACGCCGCGUGGAGGAUGACGCAUUUCGGUGUGUAAACUCCUUUUAUAUGUCAAGAAAAUGACGGUAGCAUAUGAAUAAGCACCGGCUAACUCCGUGCCAGCAGCCGCGGUAAUACGGAGGGCGCAAGCGUUACUCGGAAUCACUGGGCGUAAAGGACGCGUAGGCGGGUUGGAAAGUCAGGUGUGAAAUCCUACAGCUUAACUGUAGAACUGCACUUGAAACUUCUAAUCUAGAGUAUGGGAGGGGGAGAUGGAAUUAGUGGUGUAGGGAUAAUAUCCGUAGAUAUCACUAGGAAUACCUAAAGCGAAGGCGAUCUCCUGGAACACUACUGACGCUAAGGCGUGAAAGCGUGGGGAGCAAACAGGAUUAGAUACCCGGGUAGUC